AUUGAACGCUGGCGGCAGGCUUAACACAUGCAAGUCGAGCGAGCGGCGGACGGGUGAGUAAUGUCUGGGAAACUGCCUGAUGGAGGGGGAUAACUACUGGAAACGGUAGCUAAUACCGCAUACCAUCAGAUGUGCCCAGAUGGGAUUAGCUAGUAGAUGGGGUAAUGGCUCACAUAAGUGACGAUCACCAGCUGGUCUGAGAGGAUGACCAGCCACACUGGAACUGCGACACGGUCCAGACACCUACGCUAGGCAGAAGUGGGGAAUAUUGCACAAUGGGCGCAAGCCUGAUGCAGCCAUGCCGCGUGUGUGAAGAAGGCCUUCGGGUUGUAAAGCACUUUCAGCGAGGAGGCGUUACUCGCAGAAUAAGCACCGGCUAACUCCGUGCCAGCAGCCGCGGUAAUUC
rnacentral:rRNA from 1 species